UUUAACUUAAUUUUUAUAGUACUCAGACAACACUUAAAAUUCAGAAUUUUGGUUAUUUUCCUCUGACGGGCAAGCACAUCAACUUAAAGCCGAUGGAAAAACUUUUUUUUUAGAAAAAAAGCCUUACGGCCCGCCAAAGCAACAAAAGUUAAGUACACAAAGGGUUGGAGGUCUACCCUAUUAAAGGGCAAAAACUCUGUAAUGAUCCUUCCGCAGGUUCACCUACGGAAA
rnacentral:misc_RNA from 1 species